CGCACCCGUCGCCCAGAAGGCGGGCCCGUUCCAGCGUGCGCCACGGCCUUGCCCGCUGCCGCCGCCAAAGUCUGCAAGGCAAGUGGGGUUUAUUUUUCUGCCAUUGGUUUGUGUGGGGGGGGGGGGUGCCAAAAUUCGGGAGGGGGCGCCAAAAUUAUGUUCACCUACUACUAAAAAUUACCUUGGGCCAGUUCUGAUCCUAGUACAGUAAACAUAAGAGAGUAAAAAGUACAAAAAUGAAUAAAUGUUUGACCCAUUGCAAUCAGAAAUGGGAUCAAAAAAGUGUUCCUGUCUGUUGUCAAUCAUUUUAUUUGAGCAUUGGCAGAUUACUAGGCUGAAGAGGCAAAAAGGAUAAAGCUGAUUUAGAUAUUGUAUGAACCCUACAUGAACAGUGAAGCAGCAUUGUCUCAAAUUGGCCCAUCUCAAAUAGGAUUAUUUCAAAGCUAUGAAAAAAGCAACAAAUGUAACAGUUCAUAGGGAACAUCUGCUGUAAGAAGGAAGACUUAAGAAGCUACAGGCUGAUGUUUUCAUCUGUGUUCAAAGAUGGGUCGUUACUGAGCUCUUUCUACAAUAAGGCCCCUAGCAUCUCCUUUAAUGAUUUUUCCAUUACGCAUAUCUCCAUUCAUCCCAUUUUUAAUAGCAACCCCACAGCAGUUGUUGACGGAAAUUGUUCUUGUACAUGUGGCCAUGGUGUAAUUCACUUGACCUAAGUUUUGUUGUUGUUUAUUCAUUCAGUUGUUUCCGAUUCUUCGUGACCUCACGGACCAGUUCAUGCCACAGCUUCCUGUUGGCCGUCGCCACCCUCAGUUCCUUCAAGGUCAGAGGUAUAGUGGCAACAUCAAAAGAUGAACUGCUCAACACAAGACUUCCCGCUCAAUUAUUCUGAAAUUCUCUCAAUGCCUGCAAGUGAAGAAACCUUUACAGAGAUGGAAAAUGAGGAAUGAAAACAAAUCAAUCAAAUGGAAGAUUAAAGCAAAUAAAGCUGUGGAAUGAUUUGACCUUAAUCUAAAUUGUAGCUGUUUUCAUAGAUUGUCCUUUGCACAAUUGAGAUUCAAUUAACAACUAAUAAUUGUACUUAUUUCCUACUUCAGCUCAAGGCAGAAUUAAGGUUACUGAAGCCCUGGAGCUAUUCCAAAGCAGUGUCCUUAUUGUGCAGGCAUGCAGCUCUGUGGUUGGCAUAACCAGGAUGUGACUAACAAACAAAAUCAUUGUUUCGCUUAUACUGUAUUUAGGAAUCAGUUGUGUUGCUGACAGUCACAUUUUUGCAGAGCUGGGUGUAGAACCAAACAGUUGGCAAUUGAAGUUUUGGAAACAGCAUUAGCUCAGCUACAAUUGUCACUAACCCUAUGUACCCUAAGAAAGUUAUUGCUUUUUUUAGUUAUUAGAGUUGAGAGAAAUCGUUUUGUGUAUAUGGAAGUUAUUACAGGUAAAUGAGGUGGCUUUAUUCCAGUGUCAUGGUCUCUGUCUAAUGAACCAUGGAUUAUAAAACAGGAAUUACAUGUUGCACCCGUAAGCUCUGUCUUUCCUUUCUCUGUAUCUUUUCCUUGCACAUAAUAAUACAGACCAAAUCUAGUUUGAAAAAAUUAAACUACAGUGUCUCAUUUGAGGUGUAAUGACACGCUGUUUUUAAAAAAGUGCCUGGAAUUCCUGUGUGUGAAGUAUUGAGGCGGGAGGUUAAAGAACCCCAGGAAAUACCAUAUAUGGGCAGAGAUGGCGACAGCUAGCGACCCGGGUGCAUAAACUCACAGAAACAUGUGACUUCUGGGAAAUCAUGUGUUUCUGAAGAAAUGAAAGCUAAAGAUAAACAAACAGCGCAUGCGUACGCAGGCGCUCUGAAUGAUUUGUGAGCACGGCACAGAAAGGGUGCAGCCGGCCCGCUGGUAAGCACUGAUUGGGUCCAAGUCAGGCAGCAUCACAACUCUAAGCCAAUGAAUUUGCUUGUGGGCGGGCAUAACCCGAACCCUGUAGUGUGUAUAAAUAUUUACUCAGCCGGCCACUGUUUGUUCUCCCUGGAGAAGCACUUACUUUGUGCGAGGGGGAACCCUAGUGGCCAUUAGCGAAAUAAAACUGCUUUCUUGGAAUUCCUUCAGUUGUCCGUCUCCAUUCCUCCACUGCGCUCGAA
rnacentral:lncRNA from 1 species